UUGUUUUUAGACACAUUGCUCAUUUUACUCCUAUUUGUACACAUCAGCAAUCACCUUUGAUCAAGUAGAACAAUUACAUACUGAGUCC